rnacentral:rRNA from 1 species
AGGGUUUGAUCCUGGCUCAGAACGAACGCUGGCGGCGUGGAUUAGGCAUGCAAGUCGAGCGAGAACCGUAGUGCUAGCAAUAGUACUUGGGGACAGCGGCGAAAGGGUGAGUAAUAAGUAGUCAAUCUACCCAAUUGACCGGGAUAACGUCGGGAAACUGGCAGUAAUACCGGAUAGUCUCAAGAAAUCGCAUGUUUUCUUGAGUAAAAGGUGGCCUCUCAUAGAAGCUUCCGCAGUUGGAGGGGACUACUUCCUAUUAGUUUGUUGGUGGGGUAAUGGCCUACCAAGACAAUGAUGGGUAGCCGACUUUAGCGAGUGACCGGCCACACUGGGACUGAGACACUGCCCAGACUCUUACGGGAGGCUGCAGUCGAGAAUCUUCUGCAAUGAACGCAAGUUUGACAGAGCGACGCCGCGUGUAGGGUUGAAGGCCCUUGGGUUGUAAACUACUGUUACAGGUUAAGAAAUAUCAGGUUAUUAAUAGUAGCUUGGUUUGACAAAGGCCUGGGAGAAAGCCACGGCUAACUUCGUGCCAGCAGCCGCGGUAAGACGAAGGUGGCAAGCGUUGUUCGGAACUACUGGGCAUAAAGCGCGUGUAGGCGGUCGAUUAAGUCUGAUGUGAAAGCCCUCGGCCCAACCGAGGAAUGGCGUCUGAUACUGAUCGACUUGAGAGUUGGAGGGGUGCACGGAAUACCUGGUGGAGCGGUGAAAUGCGUUGAUAUCAGGUGGAACACCAAAGGCGAAGGCAGUGCACUGGCCAAUUUCUGACGCUGAGAUGCGAAAGUAUGGGGAGCGAACGGGAUUAGAUACCCCGGUAGUCCAUACCGUAAACGAUGAGUACUAGAUGGGGGAACACUUAACGUUUCCCUGUUGCAGUUAAUACAUUAAGUACUCCGCCUGGGGAGUAUGGUCGCAAGGCUGAAACUCAAAGGAAUUGACGGGGGCUCACACAAGCGGUGGAGCAUGUUGAUUAAUUCGAAUCAACGCGCAGAACCUUACCUAGACUUGACAUGGAAGUGGUAGUGAACCGAAAGGGGAACAACCUUCUUUUUGAAGGAGCUUUCACAGGUGUUGCAUGGCUGUCGUCAGCUCGUGUCGUGAGAUGUUAGGUUAAGUCCUAUAACGAGCGAAACCCCUAUCGUUAGUUGCCAGCGUGUAAUGGCGGGGACUCUAGCGAGACCGCCGGUGUUAAACCGGAGGAAGGUGGGGAUGACGUCAAGUCCUCAUGGCCCUUACGUCUAGGGCUUCAAACGUGCCACAAUGGUAGAUACAAAGGGACGCGAAAUCGCGAGGUCAAGCAAAUCCCAUAAAAUCUAUCUCAGUUCGGAUUGUAGGCUGCAACUCGCCUACAUGAAGCUGGAAUCGCUAGUAAUCGCGGAUCAGCUACGCCGCGGUGAAUAUGCUCCUGAGCCUUGUACACACCGCCCGUCAAGCCACGAGAGCUGGUAGCACCCGAAGUCGUUAACCCAACCCUAGAGGAGGGCGACGCCGACGGCGAGACUGGUGAUUGGGACUAAGUCGUAACAAGGUA